ACUGGGCGUGUCCAUGCCAUGUCUGUUGUAUAUAUGCAGAUGGACUUUUGUUGUUACUUUGGUUUGAUUUGUAGGUUUUCAAAGAGGUCAUCAGUCAAAGGAGGAACUGGUGUGCAACAUAUUGUGCAGAUUUUAAUUUCUCUCUUUUCCAUGCAUGGAGAGAUACUGGAAUCAACACUCAGUAUGCUGUAUGCUGCCUAACCUUUUGUAUACUGCAUAGUGCAACCAAUAUGGUGUUUUUGUGGUGCAGGUUUUCAGCUAUAUAUAUGGUCAUGGACUCUUGCAUGGUUGCAUAUGAUCACACAGAACAGAGGCCUCUGUUCCUAAAGUUACAGGAUAAAAUUUCACCUACAUUAGCGAGUCUUAUUGGAUAGCAUGUCAUUUACUUAUGCUUAUUGCAAUGUUCAGAGUUGAGAUUGAAAAAGAAACGCAUGCACGCAAUGUGCCUGUGGUCUACAACUUAUUGUUUUGGACAAAAUGUUUAAUGAGGAAAAAUGCUUUAAAUCAACUUCUAGAGAUGCAGAAGCACUUUUCGUAGCUAUUCAAGCCCUGCAUCUAAUGAUAAGAGUCAUUUUUGUUAGAUCUAUGGAUGCAUUUAUCGAGUUUUUUGUUACUCUAGUAUGUCUCUACUUAGGGUUUAGAUCUAUGGAUGGAUGCAUUUGUCAGUAAAGACUGGAGUAGAAAAUCAGUAGGUAUUGCUUAAAAGCAUCCGAGAUGAGUUACAUGAAAGCGAUACCUACCUAUUCUUAUAAUACCACAAGGAAUUUCGGAAAGAAAUGCUAGGAAAUUGUGCUCCCUAUUUUCGAAUGGUGAAGCCCUCAGCAACAUCUUGUCAAGUUUUAAUUCCUUACAUGUGUUAAAUUUAUACAAGGCUGAAAUUGAGGAUUUUCCAAGUUCA